rnacentral:rRNA from 1 species
CAGCAGCCACGGGAAUACGAAGGGGGCUAGCGUUGCUCGGAAUGACUGGGCGUAAAGGGCGCGUAGGCGGCGGCCAAAGUCAGGCGUGAAAUUCCCGGGCUCAACCUGGGGGCUGCGCUUGAUACUUGGUUGCUUGAGUGGGGAAGAGGGUCGUGGAAUUCCCAGUGUAGAGGUGAAAUUCGUAGAUAUUGGGAAGAACACCGGUGGUGAAGGCGGCGACCUGGUCCUUUACUGACGCUGAGGCGCGAAAGCGUGGGGAGCAAACAGGAUUAGAUACCCCUGUAGUCCCUGUCUCUUAUAC